GUUGGUGAACCAGCGGAGGGAUCAUUAAAAAUGAAGCCGGGAAACCGGUCCUUCUAACCCUUGAUUAUCUUAAUUUGUUGCUUUGGUGGGCCGCGCAAGCACCGGCUUCGGCUGGAUUGUGCCCGCCAGAGGACCACAACUCUGUAUCAAAUGUCGUCUGAGUACUAUAAAAUAGUUAAAACUUUCAACAACGGAUCUCUUGGUUCUG
rnacentral:misc_RNA from 1 species